UAGCUCGCUCUCAUUGGAGAGAUUCCAACCCAAACUCGGGAUGACAGCUUGGCUUUCUGAGCAUGCGUAGCCUCGCUAGCAGCCGGCUGGUUCGUGGCGUUUAGUUUGGGUUUUGUGUGCUGAGCUGUUGCAAUUCAUCUCCAAACAUAUUUUCAACAAAAAAAAACAGGAGGUGCAACUGCAGGAAGGUGACAGAUCUCAAAUACGGAAAAUGGACUCUGUGGAAACAGGACUGCUACAGACAAGAAAUGACUGCAGAUGCAAAUUCAGUGGUGCUUGGCAAAGUCCUGUGUGGUAUCCAUGGAAUGUCACCUGUCAAAGUAUCAAGGAAACUUCGCAGAGAGAGAGAAAAACUGGAAGAGAUAAUGAAGAACCUGACUGUCUAGCCACAAUCCCGCUCAUCGUCUAUCAGCAGAAAUCCACCUUUUGCAGACUGUUCUUUUGUAUUUUGCCCUUCUAUGAACAUUCAAAGAAAAGAGUAAAAACUAACUGCAACUCUGGUCUGUGUGUACUGUUGGCCGAUCAUGAGUUAGUGGAAGAAGGUGUGCUAGUGAACUGAGGUAUGUGUGUGUCCUGGCCGAGAUUUAACCAAUCGUAUGCUGUAAAUGUCACAUUCA